GUGAGGAAUAUUGGUCAAUGGGCGCGAGCCUGAACCAGCCAAGUCGCGUGAGGGAUGACGGUCCUACGGAUUGUAAACCUCUUUUGCCGGGGAGCAAGCGUGCGUUCGUGAACGCGCGUCGAGAGUACCCGGAGAAAAAGCAUCGGCUAACUCCGUGCCAGCAGCCGCGGUAAUACGGAGGAUGCGAGCGUUAUCCGGAUUUAUUGGGUUUAAAGGGUGCGUAGGCGGGAUGCCAAGUCAGCGGUAAAAAUGCGGUGCUCAACGCCGUCGAGCCGUUGAAACUGGCGUUCUUGAGUGGGCGAGAAGUAUGCGGAAUGCGUGGUGUAGCGGUGAAAUGCAUAGAUAUCACGCAGAACUCCGAUUGCGAAGGCAGCAUACCGGCGCCCUACUGACGCUGAGGCACGAAAGCGUGGGUAUCGAACAGGA
rnacentral:rRNA from 1 species